rnacentral:rRNA from 1 species
CAGCACCUCAAGUGGUCAGGAUGAUUAUUGGGCCUAAAGCAUCCGUAGCCGGCGCUGUAAGUUUUCGGUUAAAUCUGUACGCUCAACGUACAGGCUGCCGGGAAUACUGCAGCGCUAGGGAGUGGGAGAGGUAGACGGUACUCGGUAGGAAGGGGUAAAAUCCUUUGAUCUAUUGAUGACCACCUGUGGCGAAGGCGGUCUACCAGAACACGUCCGACGGUGAGGGAUGAAAGCUGGGGGAGCGAACCGGAUUAGAUACCCGUGUAGUCC